rnacentral:rRNA from 1 species
GUGUCAGCAGCCGCGGUAAUACGGAGGGUGCAAGCGUUGCUCGGAAUCACUGGGCGUAAAGCGACCGCAGGCGGCCUGACAAGUCGGAUGUGAAAGCCCUGGGCUCAACUCAGGAAUUGCAUUCGAAACUGGCAGGCUCGAGUACGGGAGAGGGGGGUGGAAUUCCUGGUGUAGGGGUGAAAUUCGUUGAUAUCAGGAGGAACACCGGCGGCGAAGGCGGCCCCCUGGCCCGCAACUGACGCUCAUGGUCGAAAGCGUGGGGAGCAAACAGGAUUAGAUACCCUCGUAGUCC